rnacentral:rRNA from 1 species
UACGUAGGGUGCGAGCGUUAAUCGGAAUUACUGGGCGUAAAGUGUGCGCAGGCGGCCGCGCAAGUCGAGUGUGAAAGCCCCGGGCUUAACUUGGGAAUUGCGCUCGAAACUACGUGGCUGGAGUAUGGCAGAGGAAGGUGGAAUUCCACGUGUAGCGGUGAAAUGCGUAGAUAUCAGGAGGAAUACCGGUGGCGAAAGCGACUCUCUGGACGGCAACUGACGCUGAGGCACGAAAGCGUGGGGAGCAAACAGG